UGCAGUCGAACGAAGGCCGGAGCUUGCUCCGGAUCCCUUAGUGGCGAACGGGUGAGUACGCGUGGGAAUCUACCUAGAAGUGGGGAAUAACUGUUGGAAACGACAGCUAAUACCGCAUAAUCCCUUUGGGGCAAAGGCUUCGGCCGCUUUUAGAUGAGCCCGCGUUAGAUUAGGUUGUUGGUGAGGUAACGGCUCACCAAACCUACAAUCUAUAGCUGGUCUGAGAGGAUGAUCAGCCACACUGGGACUGAGACACGGCCCAGACUCCUACGGGAGGCAGCAGUGGGGAAUAUUGGACAAUGGGGGAAACCCUGAUCCAGCAAUGCCGCGUGAGUGAUGAAGGCCCUAGGGUUGUAAAACUCUUUCAGAAGUGAAGAUGAUGACUGUAACUUCAGAAGAAGCUCCGGCUAACUCCGUGCCAGCAGCUGCGGUAAUACGGAGGGAGCUAGCGUUGUUCGGAAUUACUGGGCGUAAAGGGCGUGUAGGCUGUUAGGUAAGUCAGAGGUGAAAUCCCUAAGCUCAACUUAGGAACUGCCUUUGAUACUAUCUUACUAGAGAUCGAGAGAAGUUGGCGGAAUUCCAAGUGUAGAGGUGACAUUCGUAGAUAUUUGGAAGAACACCAGUGGCGAAAGCGGACAACUGGCUCGUAUCUGACGCUGAGACGCGAAAGCGUGGGUUAGCAACCGGAUUAGAUUCCUGGUAGUCAGCCGUAACGAUGAGUGUACCGUUGUGAUUAUC
rnacentral:rRNA from 1 species